UUGUCUUUUUCCAUCCCAUUUGCAGAGGUUCUCGAGGGAGAGAGAGUGAAGGAAGGGGGAAAAAGGAAGUUUCAGAGAAAUUGAGGUUGAAGAAGAAAGGAGAAGCUGAAGUCAAGACAGCUCGGCAGAAGUUGUUUUCAACCUAAUAAUUUCUAGGUUUUGAAGCGGUUUGAGUUWCUCCAAAMGAACCAAGGAAGCACGGGAUUUCCGUACAAACCARGAGGGGUUUUGGGGCUUCUCUGGUUUUUCAAGCGUUCUGAGGUGUGCAAGCUGGAUCCGAAGCUCCAUUUGGUGAAAGAUAGAGAGGAGCAGAGAGACGMAAAUCUGAAUGUUCGGUGUUCAGGGCAUUUCUGGGCAAAAUCGGGUACRAAUCUCGUUUUCAUUYCUUGRGRUAAGUUGUAAGGGAUUCGGAAAUGGAGAGGUUGAUAUGUGAUGUGUUARUAUUGGUUAAAUAUUAAGGGAGUAUGGGKGUUGGUAUUUAUGGUAUGAAAUCUGGAAAAAAAUGGGAAGGAAAAUGUGAAUGGUGGUUUAAUUCUAAGUGUWCUAAACUCAUAAAUGUGGGAAAAUAAGACUACUUAUGGUUYUAAUGUUCGGUUUUGGAUGUUUAACAGGCCRAKAGRAAAUAGGUCGAGCUUGCAGGUCAGGAAACUAGCCAAGACUGUGAGUGACAAAAUGAAUUUCGAAAAUUAUCCCUAAAUGGUUGUUCAUGUUUGAAUGUCUUAUAUGUUUUAUUAUAAAUGAUCCAUGAUUCCAAUGAAUGGUUUCAAGCUUAAGUUGAGAGCUGGAUUUUCUAAUGAGAUUUAGGAACGAGCACGUGGUUGAUGGUUUUAUAAAAAAUGGUUGAAAUGAGUUUAUUUUGGGUAAAGUAUUGUUAAAAGAUUUUACUGCUUUUCCAUGAGCAUGUGGAGUAAGCUUAAGUUUUUCGAAGCUAACGAUAGCAAGCAUGUUUUAAUGUUCCCAUAUUUUUUCUUGAGAUUCCUGACUGAGAUGUGGAGCUCGAGGUUAUAUGGUACUGUGUGCACAUAGGUUAUAUUCCGUUGUUGACAUUGAGUUUACUCCGUGACAACGAUGCUGUUGUGAGUGCUGGGCGGGCCCCAUUACGACAAAGACGAUGGGAGUGCUGGGCGGGCCCCACUACAUCGUAGAACUAGUAAACGUUGAUUGAAUCGGGCGUGCUUUGCACAACGUGGUCAUGACAUGCUAGUUAAGAUGUAGAGAUUGAGCUCUCGGAGCCUGAUACGUCGCUAACGUCCGCUGAAAUCCUAAACAAGCUCCAGUACGUGGGUAGUGUUGUACAUUGAGUCUGUUCAUAUUGUGCAGGUCUGUAGGGAUUGGAAAUUAUAAUUAUGUAAGUUCUAGAGGGCAUGGUUGUAUAUGUCCCAGGUGGUUGUGUUUUUGGUUGUAGUAUCUACUGAGUUAUUUUCCAAAUCAAGUUAUGUUGGAACUGUGUUUCAUGUGUGUAAAAAGGUUCUCAGAAA